UGCGUAGGGGUCGAGCGUUGUCCGGACUUACUGGGCGUAAAGCGUGCGUAGGUGGCCGGCUAUGUGCCGUGUGAAAGCCCCGCGUUCAUCGGGGGGAGGUCGCGGUAGACACAUUGACUUGAGGCAUACAGAGGGCCGUGGAAUUCCCGGUGUAGUGGUGAAAUGCGUAGAUAUCGGGAGGAACACCAGUGGCGCAAGCGGCGGCCUGGGUAUGAACUGACGCUGAGGCACGACGGCGUGGGGAGCAAACGGG
rnacentral:rRNA from 1 species